rnacentral:sRNA from 1 species
AGAUUACAGCUAUUUUCAGUGGGAGGAGCUAAAAAGCCAGAACAUCAAGAUAUACCAGUGUGAGAAAAAUGGUUAAACGUCAAUGUGUCAGUGGUGCAAGAUUCUAGGAAAUAACAUGCUUCAGUCUCUUAUGCGCUGGGACUACAGCAACCUUCUCAGGCUGGACUUAAAAGAAGACAGAAGCUGUGAAUUUGCCAGAGAUCAUGGAGAGGUAUAUAGAAGUGUUUGGAGGGAAGAAAUGAAAUGGAAAAGAACUUUGAAAAUAAAAGACUAAUAAUUCUUAAAUUAUCAGACAAUACGAAAUAAUAACAUGUCCAUCAAGGCAGUUUAG